UUCGCAAUGCCCGAAAGGGUGACGAUGCGACGCCGCGUGAGCGAAGAAGGCCCUAGGGUUGUAAAGCUCUGUCGAGGGUUAUGAAAUAUAGAUGGGUUAAUACCCCAUUUAUUUGACAAAAGCCCAAAAGGAAGCCACGGCUAACUCUGUGCCAGCAGCCGCGGUAAUACAGAGGUGGCGAGCGUUGUUCGGUAUUAUUGGGCGUAAAGAGCACGUAGGUGGUUUUGUAAGUCAGGUGUGAAAGCCUUCUGUUCAAAGGAAGAACGGCAUCUGAAACUGCAGAUCUUGAGUGUAGGAGGGGAGAGUGGAACUUCUGGUGGAGCGGUGAAAUGCGUAGAUAUCAGAAGGAACGUCGGCGGCGAAAGCGACUCUCUGGCCUAUUACUGACACUGAGGUGCGAAAGUUAGGGGAGCAAACGGGAUUAGAUACCCCGGUAGUCCUAGCCGUAAACGAUGGGCACUAAGUAGAGGGGUUUU
rnacentral:rRNA from 1 species